rnacentral:misc_RNA from 1 species
AACGCACCUUGCGCUCCCUGGUAUUCCGAGGAGCAUGCCUGUUUGAGUGUCAUUAAAUUCUCAACCUUCCAUUAGGUUGGUUGGAGCUGGGAGUCUGCUGGCGUUUAUCCGUCUGCUCUCCUAAAAUGCAUUAGCUGGGCUUGGGUCCAUCUGCUAGCGGUGAUAACUAUCGACGCUAACGGUACACUUAAAGUCUGCUUUCAAAAACCACUUUUGAUUUAUCUUGACCUCAAAUCAGGUAGGACUACCCGCUGAACUUAA